CAGAUUUGAUCGCUCGGUCCUUCCAAAGAGCAUCAUUUUAUUUCAAUUCCCAGAAUGUACUCAUCUUCUCUAAAUCCUCUCUCUGUGGCCACAAAACCCCCCACACGAUUUCGUUUCUCUAAAACUCACAAUCUCAAACACUUCACCAUCAUUUGUAUUCUACUCUCUCUCUCUCUUUAUCUAUUUUGUACUAUUUGUUUUUUUUUCUUUAAUAUUAUUGCUGAACAGUUAAAAUCCAUUUGUUUUCGCCUGAUAAACCACCAGAAUGGUUUGAUUAAUGAUAUCUAAUUACCUUUUCUUUUAUAUCAGUCUCAACAUGCAUCAACCUUCUACUGUAAACCAGGAGUGUUGUACUGUCCUUGAUCUUGCAAGCCAAUUGGGUCGUUUUGCCUUUAACACAGCUUUUCAGGGCAAAAAUUCAAAUGGGUACUCUUCGUUUAAGUCAAAUUAUUUGUUUUUCGAUAGUUCAGUUGCGCAAACAAAGCGCAAAGUCGCUGCUUCACUGAGCUUGGGUAGUCGGGGCACGUUGAGUGUUAAAAGGAUUUGGAGUGACUUUAAUAGGGCUAUUAGAUUUCACUGUGAGAAAAUCCCUAUUGGGUUUGGUCCCGUUCGGUUUGGUUCUGGAGAUUGUAAUGGAGAUAAUAGCGAUGGUUUGAGAGACGAUGGAUGCGGUGUUUUGGUCGAGGGGGGCUUGCCUUUGACUGGUGCAGAGGCCGAGAGCCCCAAA
rnacentral:misc_RNA from 1 species